rnacentral:rRNA from 1 species
GACGGAGGGGGCAAGCGUUAUCCGGAAUUAUUGGGCGUAAAGCGUCCGCAGGGGGCGAUUCAAGUCUGCUGUCAAAGGUCGGGGCUUAACCCCGGGAAGGCAGUGGAAACUGAAUAGCUAGAGUGCGGUAGGGGCAGAGGGAAUUCCCGGUGUAGCGGUGAAAUGCGUAGAGAUCGGGAAGAACACCAGUGGCGAAAGCGCGCUGCUGGGCCUGCACUGACCCUGAGGGACGAAAGCUAGGGGAGCGAAAGGG